AUUGAACGCUGGCGGCAUGCCUUACACAUGCAAGUCGAACGGUAACAGGUCUUCGGAUGCUGACGAGUGGCGAACGGGUGAGUAAUGCAUCGGAACGUGCCCAGUUGUGGGGGAUAACUGCUCGAAAGAGCAGCUAAUACCGCAUACGACCUGAGGGUGAAAGCGGGGGAUCGCAAGACCUCGCGCAAUUGGAUCGGCCGAUGUCAGAUUAGGUAGUUGGUGGGGUAAAGGCCUACCAAGCCGACGAUCUGUAGUUGGUCUGAGAGGACGACCAGCCACACUGGGGCUGAGACACGGCCCAGACUCCUACGGGAGGCAGCAGUGGGGAAUUUUGGACGAUGGGCGCAAGCCUGAUCCAGCAAUGCCGCGUGCAGGAAGAAGGCCUUCGGGUUGUAAACUGCUUUUGUCAGGGAAGAAAUCCUCUGGGUUAAUACCCCGGGGGGAUGACGGUACCUGAAGAAUAAGCACCGGCUAACUACGUGCCAGCAGCCGCGGUAAUAC
rnacentral:rRNA from 1 species